UACGAAGGGUGCAAGCGUUACUCGGAAUUACUGGGUGUAAAGCGUGCGUAGGUGGUUGUUUAAGUCUGUUGUGAAAGCCCUGGGCUCAACCUGGGAAUUGCAGUGGAUACUGGGCGACUAGAGUGUGGUAGAGGGUAGUGGAAUUCCCGGUGUAGCAGUGAAAUGCGUAGAGAUCGGGAGGAACAUCCAUGGCGAAGGCAGCUACCUGGACCAACACUGACACUGAGGCACGAAAGCGUGGGGAGCAAACAGG
rnacentral:rRNA from 1 species